rnacentral:rRNA from 1 species
UACGAAGGGUGCAAGCGUUAUUCGGAAUCAUUGGGCGUAAAGCGCGCGCAGGUCGGAUUUGUAAGUCAGGUGUGAAAUCUCGGGGCUCAACCUCGAAACUGCGCCUGAAACUACAAGUCUAGAAUGUCGGAGGGGGCAGGGGAAUUUCACGUGUAGGGGUAAAAUCCGUAGAGAUGUGAAGGAACACCGGAGGCGAAGGCGCCUGCCUGGACGACUAUUGACGCUGAGGCGCGAAAGCGUGGGGAGCAAACAGGAUUAGAAACCCCU